AUUGAACGCUGGCGGCAGGCCUAACACAUGCAAGUCGAACGAGUGGCGGACGGGUGAGUAAUGUCUGGGAAACUGCCUGAUGGAGGGGGAUAACUACUGGAAACGGUAGCUAAUACCGCAUACCAUCAGAUGUGCCCAGAUGGGAUAAGCUAGUAGGUGAGGUAACGGCUCACCUAGGCGACGAUCCAAAGCUGGGCUGAGAGGAUGACCGGCAAAACUGGAACUGAGACACGGUCCAAACGCCUACGGGAGGCAACAGUGGGGAAUAUUGCACAAUGGGCGCAAGCCUGAUGCAGCCAUGCCGCGUGUAUGAAGAAGGCCUUCGGGUUGUAAAGUACUUUCAGCGGGGAGGCGUUACCCGCAGAAGAAGCACCGGCUAACUCCGUGCCAGCAGCCGCGGUAAUAC
rnacentral:rRNA from 1 species